rnacentral:tRNA from 1 species
GCGGCCGUAGUCUAGCCUGGUAGGACGUCGGCCUGCCACGCCGGUGACCCGAGGAGGGCCGGACACCCGGGUUCGAAUCCCGGCGGCCGCA